rnacentral:rRNA from 1 species
ACUUAAAUUGAAGAGUUUGAUCAUGGCUCAGAUUGAACGCUGGCGGCAGGCCUAACACAUGCAAGUCGAGCGGUAGCACAGAGAGCUUGCUCUCGGGUGACGAGCGGCGGACGGGUGAGUAAUGUCUGGGAAACUGCCUGAUGGAGGGGGAUAACUACU